AUGUCAGCAGUGCCUUAGCAGCACGUAAAUAUUGGCGUUAAGAUUCUAAAGUUAUCUCCAGUAUUAACUGUGCUGCUGAAGUAAGGUUGGCCA
rnacentral:pre_miRNA from 1 species